rnacentral:rRNA from 1 species
GACGAACGCUGGCGGCGUGGAUUAGGCAUGCAAGUCGGACGGUAGGGCUUUAUCGUAAGAUAGAGUUUGAGAGUGGCGAACGGGUGAGUAACACGUAGGAAUCUACCCUUAAGACGGGGACAACCCAGGGAAACUUGGGCUAAUACCGGAUGAGAGUGCGAGAGAUUGCAUUUAAAAGGAUGGCGAAAGUUGUCGCUUAGGGAUGAGCCUGCGGUCUAUUAGUUAGUUGGUGAGGUAAGAGCUCACCAAGGCGACGAUCAGUAGCCGACCUGAGAGGGUGACCGGCCACACUGGAACUGAGACACGGUCCAGACUCCUACGGGAGGCAGCAGUGGGGAAUAUUGCGCAAUGGGGGAAACCCUGACGCAGCAACGCCGCGUGGAGGAAGAAGGUCUUCGGAUUGUAAACUCCUGUCUUCUGGGACGAAGUAUGACGGUACCAGAGGAGGAAGCCACGGCUAACUACGUGCCAGCAGCCGCGGUAAGCAUACUCGUA